AAAAUAGCAAAGCAAAAUUUCUAAUGGGGUUCGGGGGUAUGCUACCCCAUAAAAUGUUUAAACUAGAUGUCCUGCGAUUCAAUUUCUUGCAUUCUACAAGUAAAGUUCCAGCCAGUGCACCACUGGUAUAUCAAAGGCCGUGGUAUCACGCUGGUCAUACGGAUAAAGCCAUUGCGGUUGUAUAAAAUACACUGCGGUUAUGGCGCCAACUUGGGGAAACCCGACAGGACACAGAGCAGUACCUGAGCAAUGAAAACAAGAAGGAGCUGGAGGUCGUCAACGUCCGGCUGGAGAACAUAAAGUUGAAGAACAAACUCAAGAGAAGGAACAACAACUCAAGUCGAAGGAGGAACUUGCAAAAGGUUUACACUUGAUCGACUUUGAACAGCUCAAGAUAGAAGAUUCCCAGUCUGGAGCUCCACGCG